ensembl:rRNA 5S_rRNA 5S ribosomal RNA
GUCUACGGACAUGCUACCCUGAACAAGCCCCAUCCCGUCUUAUCUCAGAAGCUACGCAGAGUCAGGGCUCAGCAGAGUCGGGCCUGGUUAGUACUUGGAUGGGAGACCACCUAGGAAGACCAGGUGCCGUAGGCG